rnacentral:lncRNA from 1 species
CAUCCUUGCUGUGAGGAGGAGGAUUCUCUUCUGAGUGCUGCAUUGGGUGCUGGUGCAGGGCUGCCUUCUAAAGAAAGAGAGGACGGGAAGGGACUGCUAAACAUGAAGAAACUUCCUGCAAAGCCACCAGACUGGAAAAAGAGGCCUGAAGAAGGGUUUGUGUGCUUGAAAACCAGCCUGCUUUUUCAAAUGCAUCAGACAAUACAAUAAAAGAUGUUGAAAGAGAGCUUGUGGUGAUGGUAUCCUUUACAGCAAAUGAUACAAAAGUGGUGAAAGCUACAGGGUAAUGUAUUUAAAAGUAAAGCAAUAAAGCAAAACUACUGAAUAUACUUCCA